rnacentral:rRNA from 1 species
CGGCGAGUGAGCGGCAAAAGCUCCAUUUUGAAAGCUCUUCGGAGCGUUGUAGAUUGGUGGGAAGCUAACGGCUGGUGGGAGACCAAGUCCUCUGGAACGAGGCGCCAUAGAGGGUGAGAGCCCCGUGUGUCUCCUUUACCGACCUUUCAGCCCCCUCCGCGGAGUCGAGUUGUUUGGGAAUGCAGCUCUAAGUGGGUGGUAAAUUCCAUCUAAGGCUAAAUAUUGGCGAGAGACCGAUAGCGAACAAGUACAGUGAUGGAAAGAUGAAAAGCACUUUGAAAAGAGAGUGAAACAGUACGUGAAAUUGUUGAAAGGGAAGGGUAUUUGGCCCGACAUGGGUCCUAUGCACCGUUGCCUCUCGUGGGCGGCGCUCUGCUUGGGCCUGGGCCAGCGUCAGUUUGGAGGGGGCGAGAAGGGUUUUGGGGAGUUGCCUAGCAAUUCCCCUUUGCUAGAUUGCCCCACACCGGACUGAGGACCGCCAUCUGUAGGAUGCUGGCACAACGGCCAAAUACCGCCCGUCUUGACCAC